UUGAGCUGCUGAAUGUGAGACAGCUGCUACCGUAAGUGAUGUCAAAUAGGAUAACUCUGAUAUCUGUGAUAGAUUGAAGAGCAGUGGAAUUUUUCACAACACAACCCAGUCACAUCCCUUGAGCUUGAUCCGAAUAUUGUGACAUAUGUGAUAGACGUCGACUGCUGACGGACAUACUAACAACACAAGGUUUCCAAGUAUGCAGGUCGAUGACACCUAUGGACAGCGUGCAGGAGUACAGUAAUGGAAGUGAGCGUAACUUCCCCUGGAAUUUGGAGGAUGUGGAGAAAACUGGAACGAGAUCUGGACGAAGUGAAU